rnacentral:rRNA from 1 species
CCCUUAGAUGUUCUGGGCCGCACGCGCGCUACACUGACGAUGGCAACGAGUUUUUCCUUCGCCGAAAGGUGUGGGUAAUCUUUUGAAACAUCGUCGUGCUGGGGAUAGAUCAUUGCAAUUUUUGAUCUUGAACGAGGAAUUCCAAGUAAGCGCGAGUCAUCAGCUCGCGUUGAUUACGUCCCUGCCCUUUGUACACACCGCCCGUCGCUACUACCGAUUGAAUGGUUUAGUGAGGACUCCUGAUUGGCGCCGCCGCCCCGGCAACGGAGCAGCGGACUGCCGAAAAGUUGUUCAAACUUGAUCAUUUAGAGGAAGUAAAAGUCGUAACA